AGCGAACGCUGGCGGCAGGCCUAACACAUGCAAGUCGAACGAACCUUUCGGGGUUAGUGGCGGACGGGUGAGUAACACGUGGGAACGUGCCUUUAGGUUCGGAAUAACUCAGGGAAACUUGUGCUAAUACCGAAUGUGCCCUUCGGGGGAAAGAUUAAUCGCCUUUAGAGCGGCCCGCGUCUGAUUAGCUAGUUGGUUGAGGUAAUGGCUCACCAAGGCGACGAUCAGUAGCUGGUCUGAGAGGAUGAUCAGCCACAUUGGGACUGAGACACGGCCCAAACUCCUACGGGAGGCAGCAGUGGUGAAUCUUGCGCAAUGGGCGAAAGCCUGACGCAGCCAUGCCGCGUGAAUGAUGAAGGUCUUAGGAUUGUAAAAUUCUUUCACCGGGGACGAUAAUGACGGUACCCGGAGAAGAAGCCCCGGCUAACUUCGUG
rnacentral:rRNA from 1 species